CUUCUGUGAGGAUGGGAGCAGCUUUGAUUAAGAGGGAUAAUGGUGCCGGAGAUAAACUCAUCACCUGUACAAAAGCAAAUCCUGCUAAGUAAAAGAAGACUUUCAUAACCUAGCUGCAUACAUGUUCAUGCUAAGAAAAUGAAGAGGAAUUGAAAGAGGGAUCAUUCCUUGAGGUGUACACAUGGCAUGCAUAAUACUUUUGGCUUGCUGCGGUUGAUGAGCAUUUGGAGCAGGCAGAGGCGGUCCAACCAUAAGGCGAAAUAGGCAUUUGCCUGUGGCGCCAUUGUCCCGGGGGCACCAUCGUCCUGGGAGGAGGGCACCACUCUCCACCUCCUUCUCUUUCGGGCCUUCCAGCGGCCGCGCUGGGCCUUCCGGCCAGCGCAGACCCACCUUCGCACCACGCAAGCCCACCUUUGGGGCCUUCAGAGAUUGUGAGUUCUGUAGGAACUUGGAAGCUAGGUAUGUGGGGUUUAUAUAUCUGUAGAAGGUCCAGGGUGGGAGAAAGAACUUUUCUUUGAAGCAGGUGUGAAUGUUGUAAUUAAUCACCUUGAUUAGCAUUUAAUGGCCCUGUGGCUUCAAGGCCUGGCUUCUUCUUGCCUGGGAGAAUCUUUUUUUGGGAGGAGUUAGCUGUCCCUGAUUGUUUACUGUCUGGAUUUCUUCUGUUUUCAGAGUGUUGUUCUUUAUUUAUUGUCCUGAUUUUAGAGGGGUUUUUUUUAAUACUGAGGGCUAUCUGGGUUAUCUAAGUCCACACUGCCCUAUAUCCCUGUUCAAUGUUUAGUGCUAAAUUUGCAAAUAUAGUAAUUCCUACAUAACAUUACCAUGUAUUGAACUGCUUUUUCUAUUGAUUUGUUGUAAAACAUGAUGUUUUGGUGCUUAAUUUUUAAAAUCAUAAUGUAAUUUGAUGUUUUAUA